rnacentral:misc_RNA from 1 species
AACGCACGAGACCUGCGGACCUGCGGAGGGAUCAUUAAUGAGAAACUGCCCCUCGCGGGUAGAUCUCCCACCCUUUGUAAACUUACCUUUGUUGCUUUGGCAGGCCCGUCUCCGGACCGCCGGCUUCGGCUGGCCAGUGCCUGCCAGAGGAUUCUAAAACUCUGUCUGCCAGUGUUGUCUGAGUCUAUAUACAAUCGUUAAAACUUUCAACAACGGAUCUCUAGAUCGGAAGAGCACACG